rnacentral:rRNA from 1 species
UAGUCCACGCCGUAAACGAUGAGAACUAGUUGUUGGGAGGAUUUUGCCUCUCAGUGACGCAGCUAACGCGUUAAGUUCUCCGCCUGGGGAGUACGCCGGCAACGGUAAAACUCAAAGGAAUUGACGGGGACCCGCACAAGCGGUGGAGCAUGUGGUUUAAUUCGAUGCAACGCGAAGAACCUUACCUGCCCUUGACAUUGACAGAACCUCAGAGAGAUCUGAGGGUGCUUCGGCCUGGAAAACAGGUGCUGCAUGGCUGUCGUCAGCUCGUGUCGUGAGAUGUUGGGUUAAGUCCCGCAACGAGCGCAACCCUUGUCCUUAGUUGCCAGCACGUAAUGGUGGGAACUCUAAGGAGACCGCCGGUGAUAAACCGGAGGAAGGUGGGACGACGUCAAGUCAUCAUGGCCCUUAUGGGCAGGGCUACACACGUGCUACAAUGGCCAGUACAGAGGGUUGCCAACCCGCAAGGGGGAGCUAAUCCCAGAAAGCUGGUCGUAGUCCGGAUCGGAGU